GGCCGCUUGUCCUUCCUGGCAACUGGACUGGCGCCAGGUGCCACAUCACGAAGGCCAUAUAAGAGUGAGCGAGCUCCGGAGAGACGCUCAGAGGACGCCCACCCCGGGGGAGACACCCUUAGGACACCCAGAGAUUUGGCUGGGGAAUCCCUGAAACGAAACUGCCACAUUGGCUCCACGUGCCCUCACAGGGGACCUGGGAGCCAGAGCCCGAGAGGAUCCGUCGUAAGGGACAUAUUAGGCAACCUGCCCAGACCCUUCCCUCUCCAAUAGUGGAACUGAACUUUUUAGCGUGUUCUGGCCCUUUCGACUCCCCAGCCAGCAGUAUUUCAGAUUAAGGAGAAUGAGUGACAGCCACGCUCUGAAGCACCCAGGAAGGGUAGCUUUCGAUGCCGGUGUGAUAAAGAUGUUUUGGGAGGAAAAAAUCAAGCUGCACACAAGACAACUUCAGAGCGAGGCCAUGAGGACCCGCAGGAGUGCCCUGGACAGGCAGAGAGGCAGGCAGAGAGAGAGGAGGAGGAAGCAGGCUCCCCGCUAAGCAGAGAGCCCGAUGCGGGGCUCAAUCCCAGGACUCAGGACUCAGGACUCUGGGAUCAUGACUUGAGCCGAAGGCAGAGGCUUUAACCCACUGAGCCACCCAGGCGCCCCUGGAAUUUGCUGGAUUUUAAUAAAACUGAGGAAAC
rnacentral:lncRNA from 1 species